UGGGGAAUAUUGGACAAUGGGCGAAAGCCUGACCCAGCCAUGCCGCGUGUGUGAAGAAGGUCUUCGGAUUGUAAAGCUCCUUAAGCUGGGAGGAAGGGCAGUAAGCGAAUAUCUUGCUGUUUUGACGUUACCGACAGAAUAAGCACCGGCUAACUCUGUGCCUGCAGCCGCGGUAAUACAGAGGGUGCAAGCGUUAAUCGGAAUUACUGGGCGUAAAGCGCGCGUAGGUGGUUCGUUAAGUUGAAUGUGAAAGCCCCGGGCUCAACCUGGGAAGUGCAUCCACGACUGGCGUGCUAUGAUAGGGCAGAGGGUGGUGGAAUUUCCUGUGUAGCGGUGAAAUGCGUAGAUAUAGGAAGGAACACCAGUGGCGGAGGCGACCGCCUGGGCUCAUACUAACACUGAGGUGCGAAAACGUGGGGAGCAAACAGG
rnacentral:rRNA from 1 species